GAAUGACUCUCGGCAACGGAUAUCUCGGCUCUCGCAUCGAUGAAGAACGUAGCGAAAUGCGAUACUUGGUGUGAAUUGCAGAAUCCCGUGAACCAUCGAGUUUUUGAACGCAAGUUGCGCCCGAAGCCGUUAGGCUGAGGGCACGUUUGCCUGGGCGUCGUAU
rnacentral:rRNA from 4 species